rnacentral:rRNA from 1 species
AACGUAGGUCACAAGCGUUGUCCGGAAUUACUGGGUGUAAAGGGAGCGCAGGCGGGAAGACAAGUUGGAAGUGAAAUCCAUGGGCUCAACCCAUGAACUGCUUUCAAAACUGUUUUUCUUGAGUAGUGCAGAGGUAGGCGGAAUUCCCGGUGUAGCGGUGGAAUGCGUAGAUAUCGGGAGGAACACCAGUGGCGAAGGCGGCCUACUGGGCACCAACUGACGCUGAGGCUCGAAAGUGUGGGUAGCAAACAGGAUUAGAUACCCCGGUGACUGACU